rnacentral:pre_miRNA from 1 species
UUAAAUCAAAUUUGUAUGGAUUUGGAACGUUUGCCUACGUUUGCCGCUAGGGGCGCUGUUCCAACUAUAUGAGUUACUUUUA